UUUGAGGUAUGCUCUUGCUACAUUUCUUAGGCUGGAAUUCUGGCUUCAAGUAAUCCUUCUGCCUUGGCCUCUGGAGUAUCUUGGACUACAGAGACCCCUGCAGCGGAUCCCGAUGUCCUGCUUGGUGCUGCGAUGCAUGGCAAGAGGAAAGACUUAAAGACAGAA